rnacentral:rRNA from 1 species
UAACCUGCCCAAGAGAUCGGGAUAACACCUGGAAACAGAUGCUAAUACCGGAUAACAAUAGAUGAUGCCUAUCAACUGUUUAAAAGAUGGUUCUGCUAUCACUCUUGGAUGGACCUGCGGUGCAUUGGCUAGUUGGUAGGGUAACGGCCUACCAAGGCGAUGAUGCAUAGCCGAGUUGAGAGACUGAUCGGCCACAUUGGGACUGAGACACGGCCCAAACUCCUACGGGAGGCAGCAGGC